rnacentral:rRNA from 1 species
UACGGGGGGAGCAAGCGUUGUUCGGAUUUACUGGGCGUAAAGGGCGCGUAGGCGGCCACCGCAAGUCGACUGUGAAAUCUCCGGGCUUAACCCGGAAAGGUCAGCCGAUACUGCGGGGCUAGAGUGCAGAAGGGGCAACUGGAGUUCUCGGUGUAGCGGUGAAAUGCGUAGAUAUCGAGAGGAACACCUGCGGCGAAGGCGGGUUGCUGGGCUGACACUGACGCUGAUGUGCGAAAGCUAGGGGAGCGAACGGG